CCUACGGGAGGCUGCAGUGGGGAAUAUUGGACAAUGGGGGGAACCCUGAUCCAGCCAUGCCGCGUGUGUGAAGAAGGCCCUCGGGUUGUAAAGCACUUUCAGUGAGGAAGAACGCCUGGUGGUUAAUACCCAUCAGGAAAGACAUCACUCACAGAAGAAUCACCGGCUAACUACGUGCCAGCAGCCGCGGUAAUACGGAGGGUGCGAGCGUUAAUCGGAAUUACUGGGCGUAAAGCGCGCGUAGGUGGCUUGAUAAGCCGGUUGUGAAAGCCCCGGGCUCAACCUGGGAACGGCAUCCGGAACUGUCAAGCUAGAGUGCAGGAGAGGAAGGUAGAAUUCCCGGUGUAGCGGUGAAAUGCGUAGAGAUCGGGAGGAAUACCAGUGGCGAAGGCGGCCUUCUGGACUGACACUGACACUGAGGUGCGAAAGCGUGGGUAGCAAACAGGAUUAGAUACCCGAGUAGUC
rnacentral:rRNA from 1 species